CAUGGUGCUUCGCCUAAGACUCCCUAACCAUUGUGAACUACUUCCUACGCUUAGCUCGGUGGCGGUGCAGAGACCCCGGCCCCGCGGGCGCACGCGGAGGAUACCAAUCUUCUGAAUAGUGGAUCUCUGAGUUAUUCUUUAGAAUAAGUCA
rnacentral:misc_RNA from 1 species